rnacentral:rRNA from 1 species
UACGUAGGGGGCAAGCGUUGUCCGGAAUCAUUGGGCGUAAAGAGCGUGUAGGCGGCUCGAUAAGUCUGCUGUGAAAGUCCAGGGCUCAACCCUGGAAGGCCGGUGGAAACUGUCGGGCUAGAGUCCGGAAGAGGCGAGUGGAAUUCCCGGUGUAGCGGUGAAAUGCGCAGAUAUCGGGAGGAACACCAAUGGCGAAGGCAGCUCGCUGGGACGGUACUGACGCUGAGACGCGAAAAGCGUGGGGAGCAAACAGG